rfam:Hordeum vulgare subsp. vulgare, WGS project CAJW01000000 data, contig: morex_contig_1563586
CAAGUACUCCCUUUGUCCUAAAUUACUUGUCGCAAGACUGGAUAGAAAUGGAUGUAUCUAGAACUAAAAUAGAUAUACAUACAUCCAUUCUCGCAACAAUUAAUUCCAGGCGGAGGGAGUAGAAU